UCGUGUGACUUUUCCUUUAACCUCUCAAUGCCUUGUUAGGCCCACCUGUUUUCAAUCGACUCUUCCUGGCAACAGUGUGGAAGCUGUGUCAACUUUGCAGAUGUGUUCAGGCAGUUGGAGGCUGAAUAGAAGCUAGAUAACACUAUGCUGAGAGUGUCAGAGUUCAUGUCAUAAGUCUGAACAAGGGCUGUGUGCUCCACUGUUACUGAGAGAAGCCUGUGCAGAUGCAGAUGGUUGUCUCUUCUUCACACCCUACGACUGCCAAUCUACUGCUGUGGUUCUUUUCCUGUGGUACAAGUCUUAUAUACAGAAGCAAUGUGGCAUCUGGCUGCUGGUU